GGUGACUGCGAGACGGAAAUAACGAUGCGUUACCAGGCCUAGCGCGUCAUCAUCAACAAAAUCUCUGCAAGUUCUAGAAACAUAAUCGCUGCAUUGCGACUGCGAGACAGCAGCGGCGGCGGUGGCGGCUGCGCUGUGACUCCAAGAUCCGGUGCAGCGCUGCGAGGGGCCGACGCGAUGCUCAUCUCCAAGAUCCGGUGAGAAGGGGCAGAGAUCCCCUCUAGAGCUGCGACGGGGCAGUGCGGUGCUCAUCUCCAAGAAAUCCCCGCGACAACGAGUUGUCUCCGCCACAAAGCGGUUGAUACUCGUCCACACUAUCAUUGCUGACGUGCUCUCCGUUAGGCAAUUCCCCAACAACAUUCUCGGCAAGGUUACUGUAAUCUCAACAAUACUGGACUUGUGUUGUUUUCUGCCAUAGCUCGGAGGCCCGUUAAGAAUGGUCAGAGCUGGAUAUUUACCUGGAGGAUCCUAGAGUUCUUGUGAGUUCAGAUGAGCACUUCAAUGUUCUUGCAUGGUGGAAGAAGAAUUCUAAUGCUUAUCCAAUCUUGUCUUUGAUGGCUAUAGACUUUCUUUUUAUUCCUGUUAGCACAGUAUCCUUAGAAUCAGCCUUUAGUGUAGCCUUUAGUGAUGCUGACAUAUGCUUGUUCUGUUUUUUAACUAGCUAUGGUGACAUAUAGUUAAAAUCUUCUUCUGAACAAAAUCUGGUGACAUAUGCUUGUUCUGUUUUGAUUGCUAUUUGCUACCGGCCAGGAAAUUGAUAUAGCUUCCUCUC